AAGACAACUCUCAACAACGGAUAUCUUGGCUCCCGUUCCGAUGAAGAACGCAGCGAAAUGCGAUACGUAGUGUGAAUUGCAGAAUUCCGUGAACCAUCGAAUCUUUGAACGCAUAUUGCGCUCGAGGCCUCGGCCGAGAGCAUGUCUGCCUCAGCGUC
rnacentral:rRNA from 1 species